GAUGAAGAACGUAGCGAAAUGCGAUAAGUAAUGUGAAUUGCAGAAUUCAGUGAAUCAUCGAAUCUUUGAACGCACAUUGCGCCCGCCAGUAUUCUGGCGGGCAUGCCUGUUCGAGCGUCAUUUCAACCCUCAGGCCCCCAGUGCCUGGCGUUGGGGAUCGGCGCGGCGCCCUCCGGGGCGCUGCCGGCCCCGAAAUUCAGUGGCGGUCUCGCUGUAGCCCUCCUCCGCGUAGUAGCACAACCUCGCGGCCUGGAGCUCGGCGGUGGCCAUGCCGUAAAACACCCCACUUCUGAAAGUUGACCUCGGAUCAGGUAGGAAUACCCGCUGAACUUAAGCAUAUCAAUAAGCGGAGGA
rnacentral:misc_RNA from 1 species